rnacentral:lncRNA from 1 species
UAUUUUAUUUCUUUAGACACAGCAUUAUUUAUACAGCAAAAAAUGACAUUUUAUUUUUCGUGCUCAAUCUGGCAACAUUGACCGUGCGACCAUUUUCCGUUGUUAGCAGCUCGGCGUUAUGUCGGCUCUUACAAUUUUUCUGUUUUUUAAUAGAAAAAGUGAUUUUUCUGCACAGUACUUGAGUGUAUUCUGUUCCUUAAGGCUUGUUUAACCUCCUGAAAAUGAGCGUUAUUAAUAAUAUACACACCAGCACAUAAAGACCACCAAAAAGAAGACACCGGAAUCAAUCCGUAUAUAAUCCUGAUGUUUGGCCAUUAUUCUGGUUUACCAGAUUAGUCUUCCAUUAUCUGAUUAAAAAUUUUGUACAACAAAUCGAUGGAUGUAUACAGUUCCAGGGCAGUACAUUUAUCCUUUUCACGAAUAUUACCAACAAUCGCAUCAGGACUAAUAAGUAUAAAGAAAAUUUUAUUUCUUUUGGGUAAAUAUAUUUAUACAGGUUUUUAAUGUUCAUCAGUGGAUUUCAUGAUUUCUAAAUUUAAUUAAGUACGAAAAAAAUCCAACCAGUCUCUGAUUUACAUUUUUAUGGUUCCUUAUUAUCAUUGACAAAUUCAGACCAUUUAUUCUUAAUUUGAGCCAAUUUUUGGCUUUUGGCUACUUCUUAUUUUCUUCUGGCAGAAUACCAUCUACUUAAAAAUUCAAUUCAUGUUGUUUUUGGUUUACUUUCAUUUCCCUAUAAUACCUUGACUGCCAUAUUUUCUUGAUUGCGGAAAUAAUAUCACCACUUAUCCAUUCUAUAAAAUAUUCAAUUGACUGUAUAAGUUUUACUUUCAUUUCUCUAUUAAAGCUUGCCUCGCAUAUCUUGAUUGUGGGAAAAUAUAAUUUGCCAAUUCUAGACAAUAUUCCGUUGACUGUAUUUCUAUAGGUUUUAUUUGUUUGGUAAAAUAUACCAUCUACUUAGAAUUUUACUUCAUUUUGUUUAUGGUUAACGAUCAUUUUUCUAUAAUAGCUUGACUCCCAUAUUUUCUUCAUUAUGGAAAUAAUAUCAUAAUUCAUUGAUUCUAUAAAAUAUUUCAUUGAUUGUAUUUCUAUAAGUCUUCUUUUACUUGGUUUAUUUUUCUUAUGUUAUUUAAUAAUCAAUUCCUGGCGCAUUCGCCAUUUAUUCAAAAAAACUGGCAUCCACAAGACGUCACAUCACUUUCCUAGCAUUUUUUCAUUUUUUACUCUAUAAUUUUUUCCAAUUCAUUUUCCCGAGUAACUUCGACUCCAGAGCAUCAUAACUAGCCUCCCCUAAGAGGAGGAGACCUGGGUCACCCCCUAACCCUGAUGUUCGGGCAUCGAUGACCUGUGUAGCAUGCAGAGGUACCCAAGGGAGUCACCACCCUCUGGUUUACGAGCUAGGUGUUCUAACGCUAGAGGCUUCGGCCGGAUACGACCUGGCACCCAAGCUACGAGACUUCUUCGUGCACGUAUCCCGUGACGUCUCGACAGUAGAGGGGGCGGGAUAUCGGACACAUUGAAGAUGAGGAGGGGGGUCCGCCUGUAGGGGGUCCCGGUGGAUGUCCGCUCGAUGGGUGACGAGGGUGACCCGAGACGAGGCUGCUUAGCUGGGAUGGGAACUGACUGGCGAGGCUUAAUCGUCGGGCAAGGGUUAAAUCUGAUGAAGGGAGGCGAACUUAUAUGCUCUGGAGGAUUUUUUCUUUAUGUGAUUGAGUCGUAUGUUGACUAGAUAUUCGUUAGAGGUGGCUAAGUAUAAUUUUUUGUCAAUUUUCCUGUUCUUAUUGACCACAUACUUCUUUAUUUUUAAUAUCAUCUAAUAUAUUUUGCUUUAUCUUGCUUUUGGCCUACCUCGCUAUAUUUCUGUCUGCCAUAUUUUCUUUAUUUUUGGAAUAUCGUUCAUCGAUUCUAUAUAUUAUACUCUUCCAAUGACUGUCUUAUAUAUUUGUAUAUUUUCAAUGUUCACUAAUUUAUCCCCCAUUUUCAUGCCAUUUUUCAAUAAUAUCUUUCAUCCUUCUCAGAAUUUUCUAAUACAUAAUAUUUCAACAUUUCUAUUGCCUGUAUUGUAUUUUUUAUUUCUUUUGAUGCCAUUUUUUUCAAUGUACCAUAGCUCUAUUUUACUAUGUCUCCUAUAUUUAUUUCAUUGCAGGAAUGCCGUCAUACAUAUCAAUUCUAUAAACUAUUUUAUUGAUUGUAUUUCUUCUAAGUCUUCUUAUAUUUCUAUAAUUUUAUAUUUUUUUGUGUCAUUCUUCUUUGACUUUUCUAAGUUCAUCACACAUUUUCAUGCAAUUUUUUUUAUUCCACACCUCUAUUUCUUUAUUUGUCUCUCAUAUUAUCUUCAUUCUGUGAAAUAUUCUAUUAAUUUACAUCAUUUUUCAUCACACCAUACAGGGUAGUGGUUCUUAAAUAUCUUCUUUUAUUUGUAUUAUUGUUUAUAUUACUGCUAUUCUCUUCUGACUUCUUAAAUUUAAUUUCUAUUGAUGCCUACGUAGAGGUAUUCAUUUAUAUUUUUGGACUCACUGUCUAAUUAAUUUUAUUUUUAUUUCAUUUCUAAUCCGUUUUAAAAUUGAGUGGGAUAUUGUACUGCUUUGGAACAAGGAUAUUUCGGAACAGCUGCACUUCAAUUCAACCACCCGCUUCAAGAUGUCAUUAGGUUGAUCAACAUUCAACAGUUGAUUGAGAAUGAAAUUCAUCAUUGAAAAGAAAGCUAAAUAAUUUUAGAACCAAGUCUUUCCAGGGUCCAAGGGUAGCCAGAAGAUUUAUUUACCUCAGCAGAGACAUCAGUAUGUCCAUCAGCACCUUGG